rnacentral:rRNA from 1 species
CAAUAGCGUAUAUUAAAGUUGUUGCAGUUAAAAAGCUCGUAGUUGGAUUUCUGUUCUCGGGAACUGGUCCGCCUCACGGUGAGCACUGGCUUUCUGGGGACAUCCUCUCGAAGGCGGCGGGUGCACUUAAUUGUGUGUCUGUUGGAUUCGGGACCUUUACUUUGAAAAAUUAGAGUGUUCAAAGCAGGCGUCGGCUUGAAUACAUUAGCAUGGAAUAAUGGAAUAGGACUUUGGUUCUAUUUUGUUGGUUUCUAGGACCGAAGUAAUGAUUAAUAGGGACAGUUGGGGGCAUUAGUAUUUAAUUGUCAGAGGUGAAAUUCUUGGAUUUAUGAAAGACUAACUACUGCGAAAGCAUUUGCCAAGGAUGUUUUCAUUAAUCAAGAACGAAAGUUAGGGGAUCGAAGACGAUCAGAUACCGU